rnacentral:rRNA from 1 species
GACGAACGCUAGCUACAGGCUUAACACAUGCAAGUCGCGGGGCAGCAUGGGGGUUGCUUGCAACCCCUGAUGGCGACCGGCGCACGGGUGAGUAACGCGUAUCCAACCUGCCCUUCACCACGGGAUAACCCGGCGAAAGUCGGACUAAUACCGUAUGUUGUCCAUUGACGGCAUCCGAGUUGGACGAAAGGCUUGGGGGUGAAAGGAUGGGGAGGCGUGUGAUUAGCUUGACGGCGGGGUAACGGCCCACCGGGGCUACGCUCGGUAGGGGUUCUGAGAGGAAGGUCCCCCACAGGGGGACUGAGACAAGGGCCAGACUCAUACGGGAGGCAGCAGUGAGGAAGAUUGGUCAGUGGGCGUUAGCCUGAGCCAGCCAAGUAGCGUGCAGGAUGACGGCCCUAUGGGUUGUAAACUGCUUUUAUGAGGGGAUAAAGUGGGCGACGUGUGGGCUUUUGCAGGUACCGCAUGAAUAAGGACCGGCUAAUUCCGUG